AAAACAGUGCACGGGCAGUAACAGCGCAAGUGAGGAGCAAUCCGAUGCCUGUUUUUUGCUAGUUGG
rnacentral:snRNA from 1 species